rnacentral:rRNA from 1 species
CCUACGGGUGGCAGCAGUGGGGAAUAUUGCGCAAUGGGGGCAACCCUGACGCAGCAACGCCGCGUGAUUGAAGAAGGCCUUCGGGUUGUAAAGAUCUUUAAUCGGGGACGAAUUUUGACGGUACCCGAAGAAUAAGCUCCGACUAACUACGUGCCAGCAGCCGCGGUAAUACGUAGGGAGCAAGCGUUAUCCGGAUUUACUGGGUGUAAAGGGCGUGUAGGCGGGCAUGUAAGCCAGAAGUGAAAUCUGGCGGCUUAACCGUCAAACUGCUGUUGAAACUGGGUGUCUUGAGUAAUGGAGAGGCAGGCGGAAUUCGCAGUGUAGCGGUGAAAUGCUUAGAUAUUGCGAGGAACUCCAGUUGCGAAGGCAGCCCGCUGGACAUUAACUGACGCUGAGGCGCGAAAGUGUGGGUAGCAAACAGGAUUAGAUACCCCGGUAGUC